rnacentral:rRNA from 1 species
CCUGGUGAAAUUAGCGCUGUGGAACCACCCGAUCCCAUCCCGAACUCGGAAGUGAAACGCAGCUGCCCAGCACGUAUCGGGGCCCACGCCACGC